rnacentral:rRNA from 1 species
AUACGGAGGGUGCAAGCGUUACUCGGAAUCACUGGGCGUAAAGCGCGCGCAGGCGGCUUGAUAAGUUGGAUGUGAAAGCCUACGGCUCAACCGUAGAACUGCAUCCAAAACUGUCAAGCUAGAGUCUGGGAGGGGAAGAUGGAAUUAGUUGUGUAGGGGUAAAAUCCGUAGAGAUAACUAGGAAUACCAAAAGCGAAGGCGAUCUUCUGGAACGGUACUGACGCUGAGGCGCGAAAGCGUGGGGAGCAAACAGGAUUAGAAACCCUAGUAGUCC